AUGAAUUACCAAAACCACCAAGGGAGCAAAUGUGCUUUCAGACAUGAUGGCAUUAAUAUCUCCGAUGGCAAGUUCUACCUCGGAGAUGCUGGCUAUGCAUGUCAGCCUGGUGUUCUUCCACCCUUCAGGAAAACCGGACACCAUCUAAAUGAGUUCUCUGGUAGGAACUAUACUAGGCCUGCACAUGAAUUGUUUAAUUUCAGACACUUUAGUCUUAGAGUUGCGGUUGAGAGGGCAUUUGGAGAUCUGAAGAAUAGAUUUAAGAUUCUGGAUCAAAAGUCAUUCCACACUCUCCAAACCCAGGUUAAGCUUGUUCUUGCUUGUUGCAUCAUUCAUAACUGGAUCCUACAAUGAGGUUGUGAUGACCUUGUGGCGGAGGAGGAAGAGGUGAUGCUUGAUGAUGUUGUUGGCUCCGACCAUGUUGUGGAGGCAUUUGAGAACAAAGCCUAGAAGAACAAAAGGAUGGAGUAUCCGGCAAUGUGA
rnacentral:rRNA from 1 species